AUUAUGAAUUAUAGAGAUGAAUUAGUAAAGAAGAUGGAUAGAAAUUUAUCUAUUGAUUAUGUGAAAUUAUUUUAUAAUAGUAAGUUGGUGACAUUAAAUAUCUUUGAUAAUCACCAAUUCCUGAGUAUUUGUACGAGUACGUAUCAAGUCUAAGGCAGUACAACCGUAUUAUUUAAUGGUGGAUGUAUGGGAGAUGGGAUAAACAAUUCCUUUAGAGAGCGGAGGUAUAUACGAAUUAGUAACCGAUCUAACUCACUGUGAAAACAGUGUAGACGAGACGAAAACUAAUUUGUUGGAUGUUUGUGGGAAACCACUCAGUGUACUAUAUUGAGUAUUAUUAAAGACUCGAGGUGUACUAGGUUUGGACGUAUAUGCGUGUACGUUAUUAACGAGAGAAUGAAAUCGAUAUACCUUUAAGGUGGUUAGAGAAUUAUUAUGUAAUUCAUUACACGACGAGAAGUGCAGAUGAAAGGAAUGUAUGUAUGUGUUAUAUAUUCGAGUGUUGUGUUAUUGGUGGUAUGAAUUAAACUAUAAAGGAGAUAUAUAGUUGGUUAAAUUAAUAGGGGAGAUAGAGUUUUAAAACUCGAAGUGUGAUCCUUAAAUUAUUAAGGAAAAUAGUAACCGAUGAUGUGGAAUCAAAUAGGGCAUUUAUGUUAGAUGAGUCAACACUUAAGGGGAAUAUGUAAA
rnacentral:lncRNA from 1 species